rnacentral:rRNA from 1 species
GAUGAACGCUGGCGGCGUGCCUAAUACAUGCAAGUCGAGCGAACAGACGAGGAGCUUGCCCCUCUGACGGUAGCGGCGGACGGGUGAGUAACACGUGGAUAACCUACCUUUAAGACUGGGAUAACCUCGGGAAACCGGUGCUAAUACCGGAUAAUAUAUUGAACCGCAAGGUUCAAUAGUGAAAGACGGUUUUGCUGUCACUUAUAGCUGGAUCCGCGCCGCAUUAGCUAGUUGGUAAGGUAACGGCUUACCAAGGCCACGAUGCGUAGCCGACCUGAGAGGGUGACCGGCCACACUGGAACUGAGACACGGUCCAGACUCCUACGGGAGGCAGCAGUAGGGAAUCUUCCGCAAUGGGCGAAAGCCUGACGGAGCCACGCCGCGUGAAUGAUGAAGGUCUUCGGAUCGUAAAGCUCUGUUAUUGGGGAAGAACAAAUGUGUAAGUAACUCUGCGCGUCUUGACGGUACCUGAACAAGAAGCCACGGCUAACUCCGUG